UGCCUAUGCCAGUUCCAGCCAAGC
rnacentral:piRNA from 1 species